UAAACAGUCAGAACAUUACUCCUAGGGUGGGAAUUUAAGAUCAGAGGGCAUAGCUUUAAGGUGAAAGGGGCAAAGUUAAAAAAAAUAUGUGCAUGGAAAGAUGUUAACACAGAGGAAGGUGGGUGCCUGCACCACAUUAGUGAGAUGUGGAGGGAGAUGUACUAUGGCUAUUUCAGAAGCUUUCAGAUGGGCACAAAGAUAUGCAGGGAAUGGAAGGGUAAUGACAUGUAUAGUCGGAAUUAGCAUCAUAUUGGCAUGGACAUUGUGGGCCGAAGGGCCUGUUCCUGUGCUGCACUGUUCUAUGUAGAAACAUGGAACUGCAGAUGCUGGUUUAAAAAAACAGACACAAAGUGAUGGAAUAACUCAGAGGGUUGAGCAGCAUCCCUAGACAACUGGGAAAAGGUGACAUUUGGGAUCAGAAGUCUGAAUAAGAUUCCUGACCCAUAGCGUCCCCAAUUCAUGUUCUCCACGGAUGCUGCCCCACCUGCUGAGUUACUCCAGCACUUUAUGUCCAUACUGUUCAAUGUGCUCUGAUCUACAGCCUCAGACAGCUGUUUGUCAGACUUUCUUUGUCACCCAUCCUUUGUCUGCAGAGAUGCAGCCUGACCUGCUGUGUUACUCCAGCACUUUGUGUUUGCCUUUUGUCAUGGACUUUGAUAUCUUCUGUCAAUGGGAAACAUUCAAAGACAUUCAAUAAGUUAAUGAAACAAUAAAGGUUUUAAAUUUGUUUAAAAGUUGAUAAUUUAAAAUAUUUUUAAAAUAGUUAAAAACAUCAGAGCAAUUUUAUGGUCACCUUUCAUUGAUUCAUUACAAGUAUAGUAUGGUGCAACACAACUUUGGAAUUAAAUCGAUUUACGAACAGGGUGAUGGGUGUGGUGAGAAACUAAGCAGGUAUAUCAACACGUUUUGGACUUUUCUUUUUUUAAUUUUUUAUUAUUAUUUUUCGUUUUUGUCUUCUUAUUUUUUUUAAGUUCUUACUUACUCACUCUUUGGUAGUUUAGGGGUUUACACUUUCACUAUUUCUUUUACUUUCUCUCUUUCUUGCUCUCUUUCUCUUUUUCUAUUUCAUUCUUGUCAAAUUAAAAUGGAAGAUGUACAAUAAUUGUAUUUUGUCAUAUGCUGCGGUUUAUACUAAUGUACACUGCUUCUAAUAAAAAUAUUAAUUAAAAAAAAACCUCAACAUUAUAUUCAACUAAUUAAAAGUAAAUGUAAAUGAACACAUUUUUCCCUUUACUCUUGCAGCUGUUCCUUUCCAUUGAAUUAAAUUAAUUCACUGUCCUUGUGCCAGGUCUAAGCUGGCACAGAAGUGGCAUACUUAACCAACUCCAUAGUACUGCUGACACUUUCCAAAAAACAAUGAGAACAUUGGGAGGGAACUGCACAAUCAACUUAUGUUUCCUUGAGCUCAGAAAAGUAUUUUCAAAUGUUAAGAAGAUACUUGAAUACAUGCUGAGCAAUGAGGGGCAGCACAGUGGUGCAGCAGUUACAGCUCCAGAGUUGUGGGUUCGAUCCUGACUAUGGAUGCUGUCUGUAUAGGAUUUGUAUGUUUUCCCUAUCAUCCCGUGAGUUUUCUCCAGAUGCUCCGGUUUCUUCUCGCACUCCAAAGACGUAUAGGUUAAUUGGCUUUGGUAAAAUUGUAAUUUGUCCCUAGUUGGUAGGAUAGUGUUAGUGUACGAGGUGAUCGCUGGUCGGUUUGGACUCAGUGGGCCGAAAGGCCUGUUUCCACACUGUAUCUCUAAAUUCUAAAGUCUACGGGACCUGCAACUUUUUACCCACAUCUUUUUAACAGUAGAAUGAUUGGCGGGCAAAAAGAAUGGUGCAGGUCGACAAUUAACGAUGAAGAUGCAAUGUGAAGAAUUUCAGCCUUUCUUUUUAAAUUAUGUGGUUAAUCUUCCGACUUCUUGAUUUGACUCCUGGAAAUUCUGGGACAAUCUGCGCAAAAAAUUUGAAGUCAGAAAAUGAUGUCAAGAAGAACAAAGAUUUUUUUUUCUCUUUUCCUGUUUGUGAUGAAAUGUGCCAUUAUCAUGUUAAUGCAGUGCAGAUGAGAUCUUAGCUUUUCUCUGGUUCUGUUUUUUUUUUGUUGAGAAUCGUGAGAGGCUCCAUUCUGUGAUACAACACAUGUGGUGACAUCCAACGCCAGUACUGACUGCCCAGGGGAUACUCAACAAGCAACUGCUUUCAGCCCUGCUAAACUGAAACAUGACAGGUGGGCCUGCUAAAGCAUUCCUUUAAUUUCCAUCAUCCCUUUCAAUACCUAUUGUAGGAUUAAUCAUGAAUCGGUGGAAAUGAUAAACCAGUAUGUAAUGCCGUCUCCUGGAGAGUGGAGAAUAUGAGUUACUGGCGAAGUACAAAAAAAUACAGUCAAAAAUAAUAGAGGAAGUUCUAACGGUAUUUCCAUGAGGUUCUAAUUGAAAACAGUAGGAAUGGCUCCAUUUAAGAUUUAAUAAUGCGUACAUGUUUGACUGGCCACUUAUUUUAACCCUUCGAGUAAUGAAAUAUAAUGUCAUUAAUUUUACAUUUACAGUAUAAAACUAAUUUGUAUGCAUUCCUUAAGUGAUCUAAUGGAGUGGCCAGUGCCCACCCUGUUAAUACAAAGGACUCCCAGGUCGGGCCAUUCUUUAAUUACACCAGGGAUACUGUUGAUCAAUCUAGGAUUAUAGGGCUGACGGAUAAAAGGAUGGAAACAUUGAGAACAAAAGUUGAGGGACGUCUGGCACCAAGAUGUGUUGAUGAUGUCUAUGCAGAUGUUACUGGGCUACAUUUUUCUACCCAGCCAAAAGGGAGAUAUUAAACGGGAGCCUUGUUGCAAGUGGAUCUGUAAAGAUAGAACAACACUAUUAUUCUAAAUGAGCAAAGCUGUUUUUAACAACAUUCAUCCACUCAGUGUUCAGAGGCACUGUUCAACAGGGUAUUUGGAUAAGAAGUAAGUCAGAAGCCAGCCAGCAGCAUUCUGACUGGUUGCAUCGUGACCUGGUUCGGCAAUUUGAACGUCCAGGAGCGAAAAAGACUACAAAAUGUUGUGACCACUGCCCAGUCCAUCACCGGCUUUGACCUCCCCACCGUCGAAGGGAUCUAUCAUAGUCGCUGCCUCAAAAAGGCAGCCAAAAUCAUCAAGGACCCACACCAUCCUGGCCACACAAUCAUCUCACCACUGCCAUCAGGAAGAAGGUACAGGAGCCUGAAGACUGUAACAUCCAGGUUCAGGAACAGCUUCUUCCACACAGCCAUCAGGUUAUUAAACACAACGAAUAAGCUAUGAGCUCUGAUCUGCAAAAUACUGUA